rnacentral:rRNA from 1 species
CGCGUAGGCGGUUUUUUAAGACGGAUGUGAAAGCCCUGGGCUUAACCUGGGAAUGGCAUUGGUGACUGAGAGACUGGAGUACUGUAGAGGGUAGUGGAAUUUCCGGUGUAGCGGUGAAAUGCGUAGAGAUCGGAAAGAACACCGGUGGCGAAGGCGGCUACCUGGACAGAUACUGACGCUGAGGCGCGAGAGCGUGGGGAGCAAACAGGAUUAGAUACCCUGGUAGUCCACGCUGUAAACGAUGAAGACUGGAUGUUGGCCGGCGAAGACUGGUGAGUAUCGAAGCUAACGCGAUAAGUUUUCCGCCUGGGGAGUACGGCCGCAAGGUUAAA